rnacentral:rRNA from 1 species
UACGUAGGGCGCAAGCGUUGUCCGGAAUUAUUGGGCGUAAAGAGCUCGUAGGCGGCUUGUCACGUCGGGUGUGAAAGCUCGGGGCUUAACCCCGGGUCUGCAUUCGAUACGGGCAGGCUAGAGUGUGGUAGGGGAGAUCGGAAUUCCUGGUGUAGCGGUGAAAUGCGCAGAUAUCAGGAGGAACACCAAUAGCGAAGGCAGCUCGCUGGGACGGUACUGACGCUAAGGCGCGAAAGCGUGGGGAGCGAACAGG